rnacentral:rRNA from 1 species
GAGCGAACCGAUGGAGUGCUUGCAUUCCUGAGGUUAGCGGCGGACGGGUGAGUAACACGUAGGCAACCUGCCUGUACGACCGGGAUAACUCCGGGAAACCGGAGCUAAUACCGGAUAGGAUGCCGAACCGCAUGGUUCGGCAUGGAAAGGCCUUUGAGCCGCGUACAGAUGGGCCUGCGGCGCAUUAGCUAGUUGGUGGGGUAACGGCCUACCAAGGCGACGAUGCGUAGCCGACCUGAGAGGGUGAACGGCCACACUGGGACUGAGACACGGCCCAGACUCCUACGGGAGGCAGCAGUAGGGAAUCUUCCGCAAUGGACGAAAGUCUGACGGAGCAACGCCGCGUGAGUGAGGAAGGUCUUCGGAUCGUAAAACUCUGUUGUCAGGGAAGAACCGCCGGGAUGACCUCCCGGUCUGACGGUACCUGACGAGAAAGCCCCGGCUAACUACGUGCCAGCAGCCGCGGUAAUACGUAGGGGGCAAGCGUUGUCCGGAAUUAUUGGGCGUAAAGCGCGCGCAGGCGGCUUCUUAAGUCAGGUGUGAAAGCCCACGGCUCAACCGUGGAGGGCCAUCUGAAACUGGGGAGCUUGAGUGCAGGAGAGGAGAGCGGAAUUCCACGUGUAGCGGUGAAAUGCGUAAAGAUGUGGAGGAACA